rnacentral:tRNA from 1 species
GGGGAUUUAGCUCAGUGGUAGAGUGCUUGCCUAGCAAGCAUAAGGCCCUGGGUUCGGUCCCCAGCUUCU